rnacentral:rRNA from 1 species
UGGGGAAUAUUGCACAAUGGGCGAAAGCCUGAUGCAGCGACGCCGCGUGAGGGAUGACGGCCUUCGGGUUGUAAACCUCUUUCAGUAGGGACGAAGCGCAAGUGACGGUACCUGCAGAAGAAGCACCGGCUAACUACGUGCCAGCAGCCGCGGUAAUACGUAGGGUGCGAGCGUUGUCCGGAAUUACUGGGCGUAAAGAGCUCGUAGGCGGUUUGUCACGUCGUCUGUGAAAUCCUAGGGCUUAACCCUGGACGUGCAGGCGAUACGGGCUGACUUGAGUACUACAGGGGGGACUGGAAUUUCUGGUGUAGCGGUGGAAUGCACAGAUAUCAGGGAGAGCACCGAUGGCGAAGGCAGGGCUCUGGGUAGUAACUGACGCUGAGGAGCGAAAGCAUGGGUAGCGAAAAGG